rnacentral:rRNA from 1 species
UGAGCAAUCUGCCCUUCUCAUCGGAAUAAGCGUUGGAAACGACGUCUAAUGCCGAAUACGACCUCCUUUCGCAUGAUCGGAGGUGGAAAGCUCCGGCGGAGAAGGAUGAGCUCGCGGCCUAUCAGCUAGUUGGUGUGGGUAAUGGCCCACCAAGGCGACGACGGGUAGCCGGCCUGAGAGGGUGACCGGCCACACUGGGACUGAGACACGGCCCAGACCUCCUACGGGGAGCCAG